ACUCCUACGGGAGGCAGCAGUAAGGAAUAUUGGACAAUGGACGCAAGUCUGAUCCAGCCAUCCCGCGUGCAGGAAUAAUGCCCUAUGGGUUGUAAACUGCUUUAGCUAGGGAAUAAAGGUCGUUAUUAUAAUGAUUGAGUACCUAGAGAAUAAGCACCGGCUAACUCCGUGCCAGCAGCCGCGGUAAUACGGAGGGUGCAAGCGUUAUCCGGAUUUACUGGGUUUAAAGGGUGCGUAGGCGGAUGAUUAAGUUAGAUGUGAAAGCUUGCAGCUCAACUGUAAGAUUGCGUUUGAUACUGAUCAUCUUGAAUAUGGUAGAAGUUGGCGGAAUAAAUCAUGUAGCGGUGAAAUGCAUAGAUAUGAUUUAGAACACCGAUUGCGAAGGCAGCUAGCUAUACCAUGAUUGACGCUGAGGCACGAAAGCGUGGGGAUCAAACAGGAUUAGAUACCCUGGUAGGUCAGU
rnacentral:rRNA from 1 species